rnacentral:lncRNA from 1 species
CCAAACUACAAGUUCUACAUACAGCUUUUAUGUACAAAAAGGAGCUCUACAGUCUACAAGGUACUAAUGGUUUUGAACUGAGCGUCCACAUGCAUCCACCAACAGAAACGAAUCUGCCAUGCCAAAAUGUUCAUGCCAUGGCUACAUGUCUGUCUGCAAUGAUUUCAAAUGUAAAAAUACCAUGUCAGCUUCACUCAUCUUAUCUCCUGCCACCAAGUUCUCAUCGUUACGCUAUGAAGUUUGUGUUACAGGAGCUGCAAGGAUUGAUGUGGAACAGCUCAAACUUUCAGUGAUAUAUAGCCCAGGAUUUACAUU